rnacentral:misc_RNA from 1 species
UCGCCCCCCCCACACACACACACGCACACGCACGCGCGCACACGCAUCCUCUUCUCCUUCCCCUUCAUUCUGGAAUCCGUUGCGCGCUGUUAUCGGAGCCUUUACAUCAUCGUGACACCCCCACCACCACGACUCCCCACCCGUGUCAUCCGCCCUGUUCUCAGCAUCGGUCUGUGAUAUCGCAACGAUACGUGCACGCACACGCCGCGGAGUACGGGUGUGCCCCAGUGAGUCAGCUCUCUCCCUCUUUUCCCACGCUCACCCUCCGCCUUUUCCCUGCUGUUGGUCAGCAUGCCCUCCCUCCAGGACUAUCACGUGCCAUACCCGGCAGCCGCACCCGGCCAGGUGCGCAAGGUCAUCUACCUGCCGCAGCAGAACCCCACUGUCGAGCAGCAGCACCUGCGCGUGCAGAUCAUUCCCGGCCGCCACGAGAACUGCGAGGAUGGCCGCCUCUACAAGCUCACCGGUUCGGUGACGGAGGAGACGCUGCAGGGCUGGGGCUACUCCUACUACGUCGUCAAGCUCGGCGAUAUCUACGCUGCCCAUCGCUCCUCGAGCGACCCGGCGCGCGUGACGACCUUCGUGGCGCUCGAUGAGAACCCAGUGAUCGCCUACAAUAGCAAGCUCCCCAUCGUCGUCUAUGUGCCCGAGGGCGCGGAGCUGCGUUACCGCAUCUGGACCGAUGACACUUCACUGCUGCAGAGCAUCCAGCAGCAGCCCGAGGCCCAGGCCCUGCCCCAGCCACACCUCGUCCCCGUAACCGAAAGACAGGAGUGCCCCCACGAGCUCCCCCGGUGCGGCGCCCCCGGCGAGUACGUCACGCAGGACUGCAAAACAUCGAUGCUGUCGGUUGAGGAGGUGCAUCGUCUGUCGAGCAGCACGCCGCCCUUGAUACCGUCGGCAGUGCGCGGGUCUGCCCACGAAGCGCAUGCUGCGCCACCUCUCCACUCGGCAGAGCUGGAGGAGCGCGUGUGUCCGGUUAUGGAGCAUUUGGAGGUGUGUCCGCAGAACAACAGCCACGAGGGUCGCGAGCAGCCCGCGGAGGAGGCCUCGACGUUGAAGCGGCGCAGCAGCAGCAGCAGCUCGUCGAACCCGCGGCAUCACAGCGCUAACGAGCCGUCUCCGAGCCGCCCCCGCCUGUCCUCCACGGAGUAUUGGCCACAGGAGAACUCAAAGACGAAGCGCUCUCCGUCGGCCACACACAAGCCGCGCCGCAGCACCGACAGCGCCGCCAUCGAGGAGGCCGGCGUCGGCGCCCCGAAGAAGAAUCGCAGCAGCAGCAGCAGCGCAUCCAGCAAGAGGAAAGCCGAAGACAAUUUCUACGAGAAGACGAUGAAGAACUUCUGGAACCGCGCCCGCAGCGACUCGCCACGGAAAGCAUCUGCCUCGUCCAAGAAGAGCGGCAACGGCAGCAAGGCAGACCCGUAGGCGGGAAGUAGUGAGAAACAUGGGGAGGCGGUGGGGGCGUAAGGAGAUGCGCCACAUGAACAGGAGGGGCGGCAGCGCGCACCCACCCGGCGUAGUCUCUGGAGGAGAGAGCGAGGUGCCGAGGUGCUGAAAAAUCGGCCUUGAGAGUGUCGAUGCUCUGCGCCAAUGAGCUCUGUCUCCGGGGCAUGCUCAGGGGGCGGUUGGUGAGCUCUCUCCUCAGCCCCCCCCCUCCCACUACCAUCAGCACCGCCUCCGUCGCCCCUUCUCCCGCAUGCUUGAAAGCAAUGAUGAGCUGUGCUGGCUUCUUCCUUUCUUGGCUUCUUCACUUGCUCCUCUCCUACCCCAUGCGUUGUAUGUGUACGCAACGUCACAUACGCCACCACCGGUCGUUAAAACACUCCUUCGCCAGCCUUGCACAAGCGUGCUUGUGGUGCUGGGGAGAAGAUCGGAAAGAGGGAGAGAGAGAGAGACAGCUCACGCACGCACGGGCACUGCCCAGAGGCGAAGCAUCGAUGGUCCUAUACUCUCUUCGGCCUGCGUUGGCGAACGUUGUGCGGAGAGCAUUUUUGUUGCUCCAUUUGCACAGCACUUUCCUUCUCCGAUGAGCAAAUCUUUACGUCGGCGCCCCCAACGGCAGUGCACUCCCCUCUGCCCUCACUCCACGGCUACACGAAGAAUCACUGAAACGAAAACCCCACGCGCACGCACGCACGCAGAAGUCAAGAGAGGGCGUUACAAGGGCACGGUGCGUGGAAGACAAUGACGGGCGCACGCGGUGUAGAAGGGCAGGCGAUGUGAAGUCGGCGCCAGUGUGGAGAAAGCUCCCUCCUCCCUCUUCCUCUUCCUCUUCGCUGUUCGCCUUCCGCUAUGUAGGCCAAUACACGCGCGCGAGACGGUGAUGCUGUCGAGUUGUGUAUUCGUGUUGGCGUGCCUGCUUGACUUGUUCGAUCACGCCGGUGAAUCGCCUUUCUCUUACCCACCCUCCUCGCUUUCUCUCUGUCUCUCUGUCUGGAGCUCGCCGUGGCGCUUCGACACGUCAUGGCUGAGGUCUCCCAGCCUCACUGUGGUGCGUAGACACGGGCGAACAAGCGACUCGGCCGAAGAGGCACACGCACGAGUACAUGCUGGUGGUCGUGAGUGUGUAGGGGGUGUGGGGAUGCUUUUCUCUUCUCCCUGUCUCUCCCCCUUCUCUUCCUCGCGCCUUCAUCAGGCCGUACCUUAUGGUGUAGCGUCUUGCUUUCUUUGCGUCCCCCCUCCCUUCCUGUAGAAUUUCCGUCAUUCUUUCGUGUUCUUCUCGUGCAUGCAGUUGCUGCGGUGCAUGCGCAUCCUCCCACCACCCCUUAUCUAUUCAUUGUCACGUUCUUCCAUCGUUUUCAACCGCUGCGCGCAUGUGUGUGCCCUCGCCCCCCUCUCCGCCUACCCCACGCACCCGCAUCCGCCAACCGCCCUCCUCCAUUUUUGCAUGGCCGAGUGUGGUCGGUCGAUCGGUCGGUCUCUCUGUGUGUGAAUGCGCUCGCCUGUGGUCCGUAGAGCGGCGUCUUGUAUGGGGAGCUGUGAUGUGCCCGCGUGUCGCUCGCGCUUUUUCUUCCGCUUAGGUUACCUGCACGCACACGUGCAGGUAUGCGGUGAGCACUCGUAAUGGCUCAUCUUCUCUUUUAUGCCUUGUUCUUCUUGCUGGCUCGCUCUGCGCGCAUGGGGGGAGGGGGGGGGGCAGAGCCUCGGCGUCUGUGUGUGCGUGCGUGUCUGCGUACGUGCAUCACUACCCUUCUCUGUCGCUCUGUCUCGGAUGCUUCCGGUGCCUCCUCCCUGCCCGAUAUAUCAGCACCGAAAGCACAUCUCUCGUAUCAGCUUCUUCGCAGCUGU